AGAGUUUGAUCCUGGCUCAGGAUGAACGCUGGCGGUAUGCUUAACACAUGCAAGUCGAACGGAAUCCUUAGGGAUUUAGUGGCGGACGGGUGAGUAACGCGUGAGAAUCUGGCUUCAGGUCGGGGACAACAGUUGGAAACGACUGCUAAUACCGGAUAUGCCGAGAGGUAAAAGGUUAACUGCCUGGAGAUGAGCCCGCGUCUGAUUAGCUAGUUGGUGGGGUAAGAGCCUACCAAGGCGACGAUCAGUAGCUGGUCUGAGAGGAUGAUCAGCCACACUGGGACUGAGACACGGCCCAGACUCCUACGGGAGGCAGCAGUGGGGAAUUUUCCGCAAUGGGCGAAAGCCUGACGGAGCAAUACCGCGUGAGGGAGGAAGGCUCUUGGGUCGUAAACCUCUUUUCUCAGGGAAGAAAAAAAUGACGGUACCUGAGGAAUAAGCAUCGGCUAACUCCGUGCCAGCAGCCGCGGUAAUACGGAGGAUGCAAGCGUUAUCCGGAAUGAUUGGGCGUAAAGGGUCCGCAGGUGGCUAUGUAAGUCUGCUGUUAAAGAGUCAUGCUUAACAUGAUAAGAGCAGUGGAUACUACAUAGCUAGAGUGCGUUCGGGGCAGAGGGAAUUCCUGGUGUAGCGGUGAAAUGCGUAGAUAUCAGGAAGAACACCGGUGGCGAAGGCGCUCUGCUAGGCCGCAACUGACACUGAGGGACGAAAGCUAGGGGAGCGAAUGGGAUUAGAUACCCCAGUAGUCCUAGCCGUAAACGAUGGAUACUAGGCGUGGCUUGUAUCGACCCGAGCCGUGCCGAAGC
rnacentral:rRNA from 1 species